rnacentral:sRNA from 1 species
CCCCGGGCUUACGCCCGGGGCUAUUCUCUUGUGCCCCCUUUGGGGGCU